rnacentral:lncRNA from 1 species
GCCCAGCUGUCUCACUCAUAGUACCAGGAGCGACCUGGACUAUCCAGGGGCGACCUGGUAUGGCUAUCUCAUGCCAUAACUCUGUCUCUGUGCUCUAUCAAGGGCUAAGGAUCAUCCAACAUUCAUCCACACAAAUAUCAUCUUAUGCAAUGCAGCAUAUUCGUGGAUGCUAAUGCAAUACAACCUAAUACAUAACAUGGCAUUUUAUGAUGCAUGGAUCAUGCUAGAUUCGUGUUAUUUCUGAAUGUAAAAUAGUACAGUUAGUUCCACUCACCUGUAGCCUCUACUUGGCUAACUCUGGGCUACCUCUAACUCUGAGACAGCUACGACUGCUAAACUCUGCGGUUCCUC